UAUGACAGACGCAGCUCUGAUUGGUGAUUUCGAUUGUCUUUUAUUUAACCCCGCCUCUUGGGGUUUUCCAGUCGUUUGGCUGAGGCGUUUGAAGAACUGGUUGUAUGACAGUGUUUUAUUUUUGCAGCAUAUGCCACUAAACACUGCAAGUAACAACAUCCAUCAUCUGUUCCCUUGCUGGUUUGGAAAAUCUCACCAUGCUGGAGGCUGAGGAGGAAUUUCUACAAGGGCCUGUCAUUGACGUAAGUGAGCGGGAGCAGUUUGACAGGAGGAUUAAGAACAUUUUGAAGAAGAGUGAGUCAUUAUCCCCAUAGGAGUCAUUAUCGAGAGCCAUCGUAUAAUGAUCAUCAAUCCUGUUUUUGAUAAUGGUCUUAAUAAAUAAUGUUG